CAGGACUUCUGGAUGGAUCUGGGAGCCUGCCCCUUGGGAUUUGGCAAAACUUCCCAUCUCCUUAGCUACCUGUCCUUAAUCUUAUCCCUGACCCCUCGAGGGCUUUCAAGAUAGCCUCUGUUAACAUCACUACCCUCUGCCUGUGUAGAACUUUAUAGAAAGGCUAGGCAAAAAAUGAGACCCAGAGAUAUGGAAGAAACUGGCCAAAGAGGGGAAAGUGGGCUAUUUCUUUUUUUUUUUUCUUUUUUUUUUCUGAGACAGAGUCUCACCCUGUUGCCCAGGCUGGAGUGCAGUGACAGCGAUCUUGGCUCACUGCAAGCUCCGCCUCCCGGGUUCACGCCAUUCUUCUGCCUCAGCCUCCUGAGCAGCUAUGACUACAGGUGCCCACCACCAUGCCUGGCUAAUUUUUUUAUAUUUUUAUUAGAGACAGGGUUUCACCAUGUUAGCCAGGUUGGUCUUGAUCUCCUGACCUUGUGAUCCGCCCGCCUUGGCCUCCCAAAGUGCUGGGAUUACAGGCCACCGUACCCGGCCAGGCUAUUUUUUUGUUUUGUUUUUGUUUACUACUGUAUUGCUUUUCUCUUUUUCAUAUUUAUUGAGCACCUACUAUAUGCCAGUCACCAUGCUAGAUGCUUUAGUAACAUGAAGGUUUCAAACUAAGAAAAGCUCAACAAAGAGCCCUUUAGAAAGGUAACAGUUUUCCUGUGUAUUGGGGGAGUGGGUCUCAUAAGGUUGUAUGAUGAGAAGCGCAAGUAAUUGUUUUGUUUUUUUUUUGAGACAAUGUCUUGCUCUGUCGAUCAGGCUGGAGUGCAGUGGCGUCAUCUCAGCUCGCUACAACCUCCACCUCCUGGGUUUAAGUGAUUCUCUGGCCUCAGCCUCCUGAGUAGCUGAGAUUACAGGCACGCGCCACCACGCCCGGCUAAUUUUUGUAUUUUUAGUAGAGACAGGGUUUCACUAUGUUGGUCAGGCUGAUCUUGAACUCCCGGCCUCAGGUGAUCUGCCUGCCUUGGCCUCCCAAACUGCUGGGAUUACAGGCAUGAGCCACCACGCCCAGCCUGGCUAAGGUUCAUUAUCCCCAUCUUUCAGAUGAGGAGGCACACAACUCUCCCCAGAUCCCACGUCACAGAGAAUGCAGGUCUGAGUCUGUUCCUUGAGCUCAGGGUCUUGGCAAUGGUGAUGCUUUGGAGCUGCAGAAUCCUCUGUUGGGGAUGGGGCUGCCCUGUGCAUUAUAGUACGUUUAGCAACAUCCCUAGCUUCCACCUACUAAAUGCCACUAGCACUCCUUCAGAUGAGACCACCAAAAAUGUCUCCAGAUGUUACCACAUGUCCCCUGGGGGGUAAAAGUGCCCCCGUUGAGAGCACUGGCUCUUUUCUUCACAGUCCUGACCUGGUGGCCUGCACAGGCCACUUCUCCGAAGUGUUUCAAUGCACUCUCUGCCCUGGGUACCUUGGACACAGCACCCUGGCCCAGAGAGGUUGGCUGACUUGCCUGAGACGCUGCUUCCUGGGAGACGCAGUAGCAUCUUUCCUUUCUGUUCUGGUUAUCUUUCUUAGUUCUUUACCACCUUAUAUUCCCCAUGACAGGUGUGUUUAUGUACACACAUCUGCCUCACUCCACUCAGCUCCCUGUCAGGUUUCCUGCCAGUCUGUCCCUCUUCCUUCAGGCUCAGCUACGUCCUGCACAGACAGUACCACUGCACAUACCUGUGUGUGCCCAGCGGUGGACCCACCUCCAAAAGCAGCCAGUGCUGACAGCAGAGAGCCUUCCACACUCAAGUCAGGCCAAGCAGGAAUCGCUACCUGCCUGUCAUGACCACAUUCUCAGUGAACAUUGACAAAGCCCCCUUAGCAGCUAAUUAGCCCUGCCGUGCGCUAGGGAUGCAAUUUCUCAUCUGGCAGUGCGCCACACUCCUGCCUCCCUGCCCAAAGGACGUAGUGGCUGCUGCUGAUCGUCUGCACUGCUGUUCCAGGGGCAGGAGGUUUGCUGCAAAUCAGGUACCCCCAGCUCAGUGAGCAGAACCAGUCCAAGGUUGAGUGAGGAGAAGGGCAAGAAGGGCAGGCACAGCCGUGAGUAUGUUCUGGGGCUAAGUAACCAUGAGAUCAGCCCAGAGACCUUGCACAGUUAGGCAGGCCUGGACUUCUCGCCCUUCCCCUUGCAGCUUCUGCUCUCCCAGCUAGGGACUGAGGAAAGCCCUGCUUCUAGAUGCCAUGUGCUGCUGCCUGGCACGAUAGGUACCCAUCUGUCCUUGGGGUUCCUGAGCCUGGAGAGCGGGCUUUGUGAGCACUGGUGCCUCACCUGCCUGGCUCAGCUCUGCAGCCACAAUAUAUGCUUAAUACCUAUUUGUUAAAUGAUUGAAGACUUGACUGCCAUUCAGUACAGAGAAUUAGCCAGGUGAAUAAACAGGAUGUGUCAUAGAGGUUCUAGAAUUGAUCAUGACCCUUUCUGUCUCAUUCCUGACUUCUAAUACCGUAUAUGCCAAAUGGGGUUCUGCUGUGAUUUAAUUUCUUAAGGACUGGGUUUAUCAAAAGUCCCUCCUGAUCUAAUCCUUUCCUCUAGGAAGGCUUCUCCUUUCUUCAUCUGUCCUAAGUGCAUGGUCUUCAUCUCCUGGGUGGUCCAGACUAGGUGGCACUGGGCCUGCAGGCCUCUAGCUGCUCAAGGAUGGCCCUGUCUGCAUGCUUCCUUUCAAAAGCUAGCAUAGAAAGGAGGGCCCAAGGUGAGGAAAUUUGUCCAAAGUCACCCAAUGAGUCGCAGGAAGGGCUAGAAUCUGGUUAUCUGGACCGUCCUAGAGCACUUUCACAGUGACAGCCGGCUGGAAUCAAGUUUUCAUUUAGAAAAAUGGCUAGAAGUUAGGGCAUUGCCUGCAGCCACUGAAAAGCAGCUUUAGGAGCAGAUGUCCACGUAAUAGAAGGAGAUGGGCUAGGGCCUGCCACGGAAGCCAGCAAGCGCGUGGGAGCUGGGGGAGGAAAGGAGCAAAAGGCAAGAACAGGCAGUAUGUCCGCGGUGCCCACAGUGCUGUGGGUACAAGCAAGGGGAAAAGAGCCCAUGGUGUGCAGAAAACCAUGCGUCAUGAUUCUUAUUUCCUGCUCGCAGCUUUGACUCUCUGCCUCAUCUCUUCCUGGAAGUGUCUUGGAAGUUAGGCGACUGCACAGGGAAAGGUUCGCUGCAGUGCUUGCAGGCCUGCACCCAUUUAUUCAUCCGGUGGAUAUUUGCUGGGUGCCCGGCCUGGGGAUCCAUGGUGAGCGAGGAAGGCAUGGUAUUGAAGUGGUAUGCCUGCAUGACCUUGGCGGGGGCGCAUGGCAUAGAGAGGACAGGCUUCAGAACAGGCAGGCAAGGGCUGAAAUCCUAUCUCUGCCACCGAACAGCUAAUGACCCCAGCAAGCAAUUUCACAUCCCCGAACUUUCCUGUUUCCUCAUGUGUCAAAUGGGGAUGAUCUCGAGACGACUCUCCAGAGUAACCACGUGAAGCACCUAGCACAGGGGCUGACGCAAACAGCUGGGCAUCGGAGGAGCCUCCAGGGUUGUGACCUCCAGUGGCUUAUUUUCCUUUUGGGAUCUUCUCUCCUAGAUCCUCCCCUUUAAUUCCCUGUGAAAUUUACCACUUUCAUAUUGAAUCGUUGGCACACAGGGCUAACUGCUUGUUCACCUGAAGGAAGCUACAGAGUUCAGGUUUCUUUUUUCUUUCUUUCUUUCUUUUUUGCUUUUUUAAGAUGAUCUUGCUCCGUCACCCAGGCUGGAGUGCAGUGGCGUAAUCAUGGCUUCCUGCAGCCUCAAACUCCUGGGCUCAAUGAGUUCCUUGAGAUCUUCCAUCCUCAGCUUCCCAAGUAGCUAGUAGUAGUAGUGGCUUGCACCAACGCUCCUGCCCUAAUUUUCAAUAUUUUUUUGUAGAGAUAGGAUCUCACUGUGUUACCCAAGCUAGACUUGAACUCCUGGCCUCAAGCGAUCCUUCCGCCUUGGCCUCCCAAAGUGUUGGGAUUACAGGCAUUAGCUACCACACCUGGCCAAGGCCCAGGUUUCGACAGAAAGGGAGAGAAAACCUGCCAGAGAUGCCAUUUCGGAGCCACUCUGCUUGGCAGGGACCUGUGUUCCCCUCAUGCAGGUUCAUCCUUAGAGGGCUGCGGUCUUAUCUGGUUGUGCAAAAGUCCCACAACCUUUCUGGAUUGAUAGUUUGUGGUGAAAUAAACAAUUUUAGUUUGUUUGGAGAAUCUUUUGUAUACAAAAUACAAAUAAAACCUAAAUCAAAGAAACAGA
rnacentral:lncRNA from 1 species